AAUUGCUUAAUUUUAUAAGGCAGGAAUUAAUUUCUUAGGGACAGCUUAUUAGCAAAACUAUUGCUAUAUUGACAGUAAUAUUUGUUGAUAUCAGUCUUUACUGAAGUAUAUAUGGGGCAAUAAUGAGGUCUUUCUAGUUUAUUUGGAUGUCUUUCUGGACAUAGAAUAUGAAUUGAAACCAGACAUUUGGCUUUAUGUGUUUGGAUUGUGAUAAGAGGGAUAGAUCCCUCAAUAAAGCUCUCUAAUGCUGCCAUUUAUUAGAAGGCUGAAAAAAGGAGUCUCGGUUUUAAAACUUGAGGACCUUAUUAUGGAAAACGAAAGAAGAAUAACCAGUAACUGAAAAUAGAAGUACUUUUCUAAGAAUUACCAUCUGAAAUGUCUCUUUGCCUGGGUUAGUCCAGGGAACUGAUAUUUGCUGCUUUCAUAUUCCUUUGGCUCCUGUUGAAGUUGAACACUAAAAAAGUAUGGUACUUGGUUAGGUUUGAGAUUGGUGUUGAGGAGCAUAACUACCAUGACUUCCAGUGCUUUGAUGAAACCUCCGAUGCGAGGCCUUCUGGCCAAGCAUCUGUGAUUUUAUGUUGUUGGAGCCUUUGUUGUGUAUCCCUGGGGGUUACAGCUUUCUCUAAGUUUGCUGUGGCCGAACCAAGAAAGAAAGCAUAUGCAGAUUUCUACAGAAAUUAUGAUUCCAUGAAAGAUUUUGAGAUGAAGAAGGCUGGUAUCUUUCAGAGUGCAGAGGGAUUUUGGAAUGUAUAGAAUUGCUUUGGGUUGAGUUCAUUUGAAGUUUGUCACUGACCUGUGUUCCUGAACUAUGAAGCACGGAUAUUGGGUUAUGGAAUUGUUUGUCUUGAUAAAUAAACAACUAACAAAUACUUUGGACA